CCAUCAACAUGGCGGUAUUGAAAGAAAUAGUUAUCUUGACCUUUUGAUGUACUUAAGUAAAAGAGAGAUUUGAUUAUGAAAAUGAUGGAGUUACUAAUGACAGAAAAAUGGCAGACAAGAGACUCAAAGUAUUUUGAGGUAUGUUAUUCCGUUCAUCUUCAACCCCCUUCCCCACCUCCUCUGGUCUCUCGUACAGCUGUAUGAUUGAUACCAAUACAACAAUACUAAUUUACUGUUUUUUGUUGAGAAGCAUAACAAAUUCUGCUCGUUUAUGUCCAUCAGUUACAUGAAGAGAAUAUUUCAUUUAUUACAUACAUGCACAUGUAUUGUACACUAUCAGUGAAACAAUUACCAGGUGAGACCACACUCACUAUCCAUGCCCAUUUAUGUUCACCCUCUCUUUUAUAGUGCUAGAAGAUGUUGUCUGAUAUUUGUCCAUCAGUGGAAUUACCUUUUGAUAUGUGUAUCAGGUACAUGUACUUAGUCUGUUUGUCAUUCCUGAAAAUAUUCAAAAUUUCUAUGACUGAAAAUCAAUUUACUUUAUGCUAUGACUGAAAGUUUAUUACCUUUUUCAGUGUUGAUAGAAAAUAUGUGUUUCAUUUACCCGACACAUUCCCAGAGACUCAAAGUAUCUUGAGGUAUGUUAUUCCACUCGUCAUCCUGCCCCUCCCCCACCUCCUCUGGUCUCUCGUACAGUUGUGUGUUUGGUACCAAUACAACAAGGCUUGGACACACAGUCAGUGCUGUAACAGUUUGAAUUUAAUGCUUUGCUGAUGGUCUGUUGUCAGUGGAUAUGGCAUCUGAACAAGCCCUUCCCUUCCAUUGAGUCAUUGACCGUGUAUAAAGACUUUGAUUAAGACUAAUUUGUUGAGAAGCUCAUUAGUGUAUAAUAAGUUCUAUUCAUCCAUGUUUAUCAGUUAUGAAGAGAAUAUUUCAUUUAUUACAUACAUUAUUGGUCAAAAAUUUACCAGUGCUGGAAGAUGUCAUCUGAUGCACUGUAUUUUUCCAUCAAUGGAUUAUCUUUUGAUACAUGUAUCAGUAUUCUCAAUGAUGAUUGAUCCUCAAGUAGUCCCAGUUACAGAAUCCUUUCUGGACAUUUUGAGCAGCAUGGUCUCAUUGUUAUUAGUAAGAGAAUGGAAUUAGCCAGUAAAUUGAAGGGACACAAAAGCUUGAACUUGUACAUGUAUAUAACAUGUGCAUCAUUCCUAUUUAUACAUUCAGUGACAUAUUAUUGAAAUGACAUUUAAUUGCAAUUUUUUGUGGUCAGGACUCAGGACUGGCAGGAACCACAUGCUGAUUGAAACAUGUAUGUACAUGUACUUAUUCCUUAAUUUGUAAUCAACAUGUUUGUUAUGUACAUUA